rnacentral:rRNA from 1 species
GAACUGAGACACGGUUCCGACUCCUACGGGGGGCGGCAGUGAGGAAUAUUGCGCAAUGGGGGCAACCCUGACGCAGCAACGCCGCGUGGAGGACGAAGGUUUUCGGAUUGUAAACUCCUUAUCUGGGGGAAGAGGAAGGACGGUACCCCAGGACGUAGACACGGCUAACUAGGUGCCAGCAGCCGCGGUAAUACCUAGGUGUCGAGCGUUAUCCGGAAUUACUGGGCGUAAAGGGUGCGCAGGCGGCGAUACAAGUCUGGCGUGAAAGCUUCUGGCUUAACUGGGAGAGGACGUUGGAAACUGUAUGGCUAGAGUGAAUGAGAGGGGGGCGGAAAUCCCGGUGUAGUGGUGGAAUGCGUAGAUAUCGGGAAGAACACCAGAGGCGAAGGCGGCCUCCUGGCAUUUUACUGACGCUGAGGCACGAAAGCGUGGGUAGCGAACGGGAUUAGAUACCCUGGUAGUCA